UGGAUAUUUUACCUGUGUGCAUGUCUGCUU
rnacentral:piRNA from 1 species